GCAAGUCGAACGCUAAUUUCGGGGUAGCAAUAUUCCGGAGUUGGAGUGGCGAAAGGGUGCGUAACACGUGGGUAAUUUGCCUUAAAGUCGGGGAUAACUUGCCGAAAGGUGAGCUAAUACCGGAUGUGGUCUCUUAGCGGCAUCACCGAGAGUCUAAGGGCCUGCCGCUUCAUGAUGAGCCCGCGUCCUAUCAGCUUGUUGGUGGGGUAAAAGCCUACCAAGGCAAAGACGGGUAGCCGGUCUGAGAGGAUGGUCGGCCACACUGGAACUGAGACACGGUCCAGACACCUACGGGUGGCAGCAGUCGAGAAUCUUUCACAAUGGGGGAAACCCUGAUGGAGCGACGCCGCGUGGGGGAUGAAGGGCUUCGGUUCGUAAACCCCUGUCAUCUGUUAACAAACCUUCCGGGCCAAUACCCCGGAAGCUGAUAGUAGCAGAAGAGGAAGGGACGGCUAACUCCGUGCCAGCAGCCGCGGUAAUACGGAGGUCCCAAGCGUUGUUCGGAUUCACUGGGCGUAAAGGGUGCGUAGGCGGUACCAUAAGUUUGGUGUGAAAGCUCCGGGCUCAACCCGGAAAUUGCAUUGAAUACUAUGGCACUAGAGGAUCGGAGGGGAGACUGGAAUUCCCGGUGUAGCAGUGAAAUGCAUAGAUAUCGGGAGGAACACCAGUGGCGAAGGCGAGUCUCUGGACGACACCUGACGCUGAGGCACGAAAGCUAGGGGAGCAAACAGGAUUAGAUACCCUGGUAGUCCUAGCCGUAAACUGUGUGCACUUGCUGUGGGCGGAUUCGACCCCGUCCGUGGCGCAGCUAACGCGUUAAGUGCACCGCCUGGGGAGUACGGUCGCAAGAUUAAAACUCAAAGAAAUUGACGGGGGCCUGCACAAGCGGUGGAGUAUGUGGCUUAAUUCGAUGCAACGCGAAGAACCUUACCUGGGUUUGACAUGUAAGUGGUAAAAGAUCUGAAAGGUGAAUGACCCUCUUUGAGGGAGCUUACACAGGUGCUGCAUGGCUGUCGUCAGCUCGUGUCGUGAGAUGUUGGGUUAAGUCCCGCAACGAGCGCAACCCUCAUGUUCUGUUGCCACCCAAACGAGAGUUUGGAGCACUCCGAACAGACUGCCCCAUUUUAAUGGGGAGGAAGGUGGGGAUGACGUCAAGUCAGUAUGGCCCUUACGUCCAGGGCUGCACACGUACUACAAUGCCCGGCACAAUGGGAAGCAAGACCGCAAGGUGGAGCCAAUCCCCAAAACCGGGCUCAGUUCAGAUUGUCGGCUGCAACUCGCCGGCAUGAAGGUGGAAUCGCUAGUAAUGGCGCAUCAGCUACGGCGCCGUGAAUACGUUCCCAGGCCUUGU
rnacentral:rRNA from 1 species